CCUAGCUACAGAGAAAAGUCAAAGAGCACCUUGAAGCCUAUGAAGAAUGGACAGUGGGAUGAGCCUUAGGAAAAGGAAGAUAGAAGAGAAUAAAGGGAAGAAAACAGAGGGUUCCUAGCAGCAUGUCAGACUCAAUCGGAACCACCCUUACACUAUCAAUUUGGGACACUCCAGGAGCAAAGGGCCCCAGUCUUGAUGGCCUGAGGGCCCCAAGUCCAAGGGGCAGCACUUGGCAGAGGGACAAACACUGGAUAAUUAUCCUGGCCCUGACUUUGGUGUUCUCAGCUCUGCGACGUUAGGCAAAUCAGCUAACCUCUGUGACCCUCAGCCUUUCCAUGCAUGAAAUGACAGUAACAAUGGCUCCCUCACAGGUGCAAGUAAGAAUGGAGAGAUCAAUUUUGUUUAGGAAAACAUCUUAAUAAACCACGUGGAAGCGUGGCCAGCAAUGAGACUCUGAAGUUACAAGCCAUCAAUAACCAAGACCAAAACCUAGAAAACCAAGUUUGAAAAAGCCAGAGUCCCAUAGAGGGUGAGUACUGAUUUCUCUCAUUGCCUGACAUUAUAACAAAGAGGUUCAGGGCACAAAGAUGAGAUCUCACCUCCGUCUUCACCUCCCUCUUUUUAGUACUACUCCAUCCUUUACAGAUUCACCUACACACACUCACACAUGCACACACACCACUCCCUUUUCAGGAAGAAAGCUACAGGCUCCAGUUAAUUAGAAAUUCUACUAUUUCAGCUUUAUUACUUCCUCUUUACUCUCUGA
rnacentral:lncRNA from 10 species